AGCCAUAUUAAUUGCUUGACCGUCUAAGAGAUAGACACACAAAGUAAAACAAGGUAUAUUUCUGAGGAAGCAUUGUUCAACUCACCCCAGCCCACUCUCCAAGAGUUUUGGCGCUAGGCACAGUAACCAGGUGGACAUUGUGCUCAGCGCAGAGAGCCUUCACCAGCUUGACAUAAUCAGGCUGGUCGCAGUCCUCGGCAAGCACGCAGAGCUGAGCGGCAUGCUUCUCGAUGGCUUUGGCAGCC
rnacentral:lncRNA from 1 species